AGAGAAGAGGCUCCUGUUCUCCUCGCUGCCAUUUGUGUUCUUGCCGGGUGGAUUCGAGGUGCAUAUGCUUGUGUUCUGUUUUGCAUUGUUUUCCCAUAUACCUCCUCAGCGCAGGGCUGCCGUCGUGCCAAUGUUUAACUCAAUCUAUAUGCCGUUAUUUCAUAUUUGGAACCCCAAAAUGUUAAAACUCUUUUGUAGUAAACAAAACAUUUUCAAUAAUUGCUCAAGAGAAUUUGGAAAAAUAAGCUUGUUCGUUCCAUCUUUCUAUUUUCAGUAGGAUGGUUAUCUCUGUUCAUAUUUUUCUUUUCAUAUAAUGUAGUGGCUAAGGGCGCUGCCUCUCCCAGACUUCUGGAGUUUGUAUGCUGACUCUGACACUUUCUAGCUGGGUGACACUGGGCAUAUUACUUAACAUUUCUGUGCCGCUCUCUCCUUAACUGUAAGAGAGAUGAUAACCAUCUCUAUCUAAUAAUCAUAGUAUAAAUACAAGGAUUAAAUGAGUUUACAGAGGUAAUGCCUAUAGAAUGAUGACUACCACUGAGUAGGUGCUUCCUAAGCACUGGUAGUAUUCAUGAUUCAGCAUGGGAAUUUUUUUAAUUUUUAUUUUUGGAAUUCUAGCUGUCAGCUCCAAGUGGUCUUUUAGAAAAUGUUUUGAAGUGAACAGUGGUGCUGCCCUUCAGCCUCAGCUCUCUGUUCAUGUGAAGUUCAUCUCCAUGCAAGGAGAUGAGUAUGGGCAGGGAGGGCUCUCCUGAGAAUCAGCAGAGGAAGAUUCAAUUCUCCUUUGCUCAAGUUUUUGGAGGUGUUCAGAAACAUUUGCAAAGGACAGAAUAACAUCCUGUAUGUUAGCAUCAAUCAUCCCCAACAACCUUCUGGGGCAGCAUAAUAGCUCACAGCCCCAUUGGAUAAUGUAUAUUAUAUGAGUAAAAUUCCAAUUUUUGCUAUGUCACAGGUGAAUGUACCUUUGGUGAGGGCUUCUACUGCUACAUGGCCGGCUUUCUUUUGCAAACAAGUGAACUCCUAUUGUUUUGAAAUGGAGGUUCUCUCUGGUGCCCAGGAUGGAGUGCAGUGGCAUGAUCUUGGUUCACUGCAACCUCCGCCUUCUGGGUUCAAGCGAUUCUCCUGCCUCAGCCUCCUGAGUAGCUGAGAUUUCAGGUGUGUGCCACCAUGCCUGACUAAUUUUGUAUUUUUUUAGUAGAGACAGGGUUUCACCAUGUUGGCCAGGCUGGUCUCAAACUCCUGACCUCAUGACCCACACUCGGCCUCCCAAAGUGCUGGGAUUACAGGUAUGAGCCACCGCACUUGGCCAAAGAUUUCUUUUUAAAGGCAAAGUCUUUUAGUCCUUUGGAUUAAGAUUAACUAUGUCAGAGGGGAAUGGGUGUGGGCGAGAUGGGGAUCAGGGCCAGUGUUCUGUUUUAAGUUGUCCAAACACUGCACCCCAGAGGUUAGACACUCCUGUUAGCUCAUUAGAAAGAUGUAGAAACCUGACAGGAGGACCGGAAGCUGGAACUAUCUCUUGGGCUUAAUAACGCUGCACCCAUUUUCCCAUGGCAAACGUUAAUGUGCUUACAAGGUCUUAACACCAACUUACAUAUCAGUUUUCCAAGAAUUUCUGCCAAGGUGGUGGAUGGAAUUAAGAAAUUAAGUACUGCAGUUUCAAUAGCUCUGUAAUAUCUCUAAAUAGAAUUUAAAAAUUUAAGAGUGCUGCUGGUGGGUAUGUGCUCAAGUAGGUGGAGGAAAGGGGUUUCCCUGUAGAUAGGGUGCUCUUUUGACCUAUGCCCUAAAUCUGGGGUUCAAGUAUAAGCAAGUCAGUUCUAGGGAAUAUAGUAGCCAUUUGAUUUCAUUAAUUCUUCUUUUCAUAGCAGUAGAAUUUUCUAAAUGGAAGUGAGAUUUCAGAGACUCUCUCUGCAUAGAAAUGGUAAAUUAGAAAUCUGUCUAUGAAGACUUCUCUGCAUGUAACUAAAUGACAAUCUUUGGGGAAUUAUCAGUAUUUGGAGUAAUAAACCCAUUGCACAGAAUGGUUAAAUAUUAGUA
rnacentral:lncRNA from 13 species